rnacentral:rRNA from 1 species
AGCGGAGGAAAAGAAACCAACAGGGAUUGCCUUAGUAGCGGCGAGUGAAGCGGCAAAAGCUCAAAUUUGAAAUCUGGCGCCUUCGGUGUCCGAGUUGUAAUUUGAAGAUUGUAACCUUGGGGUUGGCUCUUGUCUAUGUUUCUUGGAACAGGACGUCACAGAGGGUGAGAAUCCCGUGCGAUGAGAUGCCCAAUUCUAUGUAAGGUGCUUUCGAAGAGUCGAGUUGUUUGGGAAUGCAGCUCUAAGUGGGUGGUAAAUUCCAUCUAAAGCUAAAUAUUGGCGAGAGACCGAUAGCGAACAAGUACAGUGAUGGAAAGAUGAAAAGAACUUUGAAAAGAGAGUGAAAAAGUACGUGAAAUUGUUGAAAGGGAAGGGUUUGAGAUCAGACUCGAUAUUUUGUGAGCCUUGCCUUCGUGGCGGGGUGACCCGCAGCUUAUCGGGCCAGCAUCGGUUUGGGCGGUAGGAUAAUGGCGUAGGAAUGUGACUUUACUUCGGUGAAGUGUUAUAGCCUGCGUUGAUGCUGCCUGCCUAGACCGAGGACUGCGAUUUUAUCAAGGAUGCUGGCAUAAUGAUCCCAAACCGCCCGUCUU